rnacentral:rRNA from 1 species
CAGUCGAACGAAGCACUUAAACCUGAUUCUUCGGAUGAAGGUUUUUCUGUCUGAGUGGCGGACGGGUGAGUAACGCGUGGGUAACCUGCCUCAUACAGGGGGAUAACAGUUAGAAAUGACUGCUAAUACCGCAUAAGACCACGGAGCCGCAUGGCUCAGUGGGAAAAACUCCGGUGGUAUGAGAUGGACCCGCGUCUGAUUAGGUAGUUGGUGGGGUAACGGCCUACCAAGCCAACGAUCAGUAGCCGACCUGAGAGGGUGACCGGCCACAUUGGGACUGAGACACGGCCCAAACUCCUACGGGAGGCAGCAGUGGGGAAUAUUGCACAAUGGGGGAAACCCUGAUGCAGCGACGCCGCGUGAGCGAAGAAGUAUUUCGGUAUGUAAAGCUCUAUCAGCAGGGAAGAAAAUGACGGUACCUGACUAAGAAGCACCGGCUAAAUACGUGCCAGCAGCCGCGGUAAUACGUAUGGUGCAAGCGUUAUCCGGAUUUACUGGGUGUAAAGGGAGCGUAGACGGCUGUGUAAGUCUGAAGUGAAAGCCCGGGGCUCAACCCCGGGACUGCUUUGGAAACUAUGCAGCUAGAGUGUCGGAGAGGUAAGUGGAAUUCCCAGUGUAGCGGUGAAAUGCGUAGAUAUUGGGAGGAACACCAGUGGCGAAGGCGGCUUACUGGACGAUGACUGACGUUGAGGCUCGAAAGCGUGGGGAGCAAACAGGAUUAGAUACCCUGGUAGUCCACGCCGUANACGAUGACUACUAGGUGUCGGGGAGCNAAGCUCUUCGGUGCCGCAGCAAACGCAAUAAGUAGUCCACCUGGGGAGUACGUUCGCA